rnacentral:rRNA from 1 species
CUUAGCGGCGGACGGGUGAGUAACGCGUGGGUAACCUGCCUCAUACAGGGGGAUAACAGUUAGAAGUGACUGCUAAUACCGCAUAAGCGCACAGGACCGCAUGGUCCGGUGUGAAAAACUCCGGUGGUAUGAGAUGGACCCGCGUCUGAUUAGCUGGUUGGCGGGGUAACGGCCCACCAAGACGACGAUCAGUAGCCGACCUGAGAGGGUGGCCGGCCACAUUGGGACUGAGACACGGCCCAAACUCCUACGGAAGGCAGCAG